rnacentral:snRNA from 1 species
GUGCUCACUUCAGCAGCAAUGUACUAUAAAAUUGGAAUGAUACAGAGAAGAUCAACAUGCCCCCCCAUGAAACACAAAUCUGUGAAGUGCUUUU